UAUCGAGAUCGAUAAAUUUUUUUUAGGUGCAUCUUAUUCAUAACAGCAAAUCUGAACCUACUGUAGCCAACACACAUAGUAAGGAUCUGAAUGGCUAGGGACCAAGAGAACAUGUUAUCAAACUCAGUAGUCUCAUGGUGAAUAGUCGAUGACACUGUAGAUCAAAGGAUCACUCAUACCACUGCAUUAUCAAGAUAAUCACUGAUGAGUGAGUAGACAUCCAAG
rnacentral:lncRNA from 1 species